rnacentral:rRNA from 1 species
AACGAACGCUGGCGGCAUGCCUAACACAUGCAAGUCGAACGAUGCUUUCGGGCAUAGUGGCGCACGGGUGCGUAACGCGUGGGAAUCUGCCUUGGGGUACGGAAUAACUCAGAGAAAUUUGAGCUAAUACCGUAUGAUGUCUUCGGACCAAGAUUUAUCGCCCUGAGAUGAGCCCGCGUAGGGUUAGCUAGUUGGUGGGGUAAAGGCCUACCAAGGCGACGAUCCUUAGCUGGUCUGAGAGGAUGAUCAGCCACACUGGGACUGAGACACGGCCCAGACUCCUACGGGAGGCAGCAGUGGGGAAUAUUGGACAAUGGGCGCAAGCCUGAUCCAGCAAUGCCGCGUGAGUGAUGAAGGCCUUAGGGUUGUAAAGCUCUUUUACCCGGGAAGAUAAUGACUGUACCGGGAGAAUAAGCCCCGGCUAACUCCGUGCCAGCAGCCGCGGUAA